CGCGUAGGUGGUUGUGUAAGUCAGAUGUGAAAUCCCCCGGCUCAACUGGGGAACUGCAUUUGAUACUGCAUGACUCGAGUGCAGCAGAGGGAAACGGAAUUCCUGGUGUAGAGGUGAAAUUCGUAGAUAUCAGGAGGAACACCGGUGGCGAAGGCGGUUUCCUGGGCUGACACUGACACUGAGGCGCGAAAGCGUGGGUAGCAAACAGGAUUAGAUACCCUGGUAGUCCACGCUGUAAACGGUGAAUACUGGGUGUGGGAGGUGUAAUGCCUUCUGUGCCGAAGCUAACGCGUUAAGUAUUCCGCCUGGGAGUACGGCCGCAAGGUUGAA
rnacentral:rRNA from 1 species